AUUGAACGCUGGCGGCAGGCCUAACACAUGCAAGUCGAGCGGAGCGGCGGACGGGUGAGUAAUGUAUGGGGAUCUGCCCGAUAGCGGGGGAUAACUACUGAAAACGGGGGCUACUCCGGCAUACAAUGGGAUGACCCCAUAUGGGAUUCGCUAGUAGGUGGGGUAAAGUCUAACCUAGGCGACGAUCUCUAGCUGGUCUGAGAGGAUGAUCAGCCACACUGGGACGGAGACACGGUCCAGACUCCUACGGGAGGCAGCAGUGGGGAAUAUUGGACAAUGGGCGAAAGCCUGAUCCAGCCAUGCCGCGUGUGUGAAGAAGGUCUUCGGAUUGUAAAGCACUUUAAGUUGGGAGGCGUUACCAACAGAAUAAGCACCGGCUAACUUCGUGCCAGCAGCCGCGGUAAUUC
rnacentral:rRNA from 1 species